GACGAACCGUGCGAACGUUAUUCGGAAUCACUGGGCUUAAAGCGCGUGUAGGCGGAACGGAACGUCGGUCGCUGAAAUCCCCCGGCUUAACCGGGGAAGGGGCGCCGAAACGACCGCUCUGGAGGAACGUAGGGGGAGCUGGAACUUCCGGUGGAGCGGUGAAAUGCGUUGAGAUCGGAAGGAACGCCCGUGGCGAAAGCGAGCUCCUGGACGUUUUCUGACGCUGAGACGCGAAAGCCAGGGGA
rnacentral:rRNA from 1 species